UACAGAGGGUGCAAGCGUUAAUCGGAAUUACUGGGCGUAAAGCGUGCGUAGACGGUUGCGUAAGUCAGAUGUGAAAGCCCCGGGCUCAACCUGGGAAUUGCAUUUGAGACUGCGUAGCUAGGGUGCGGAAGAGGGAAGUGGAAUUCCCGGUGUAGUGGUGAAAUGCGUAGAUAUCGGGAGGAACACCAGUGGCGAAGGCGACUUCCUGGCCUGUUCUUGACGCUGAGGCGCGAAAGCUAGGGGAGCAAACGGG
rnacentral:rRNA from 1 species